rfam:Sphaerobolus stellatus SS14 unplaced genomic scaffold SPHSTscaffold_33, whole genome shotgun sequence.
AGUUGCUUGGCUAAGGGGCACAGCGUCGCACUUGUAGGUUCGACUUACAAUGCGAAGACCGGAAGUUCAAAUCUCAUAGUGGCUU